rnacentral:rRNA from 1 species
GACGAACGCUGGCGGCGUGCUUAACACAUGCAAGUCGAACGGAAAGGCCCUGCUUGCAGGGUACUCGAGUGGCGAAAGGGUGAGUAACACGUGGGUGAUCUGCCCUGCACUUCGGGAUAAGCCUGGGAAACUGGGUCUAAUACCGGAUAGGAGCCAUCUUUAGUGUGAUGGUUGGAAAGUUUUUUCGGUGUAGGAUGAGCUCGCGGCCUAUCAGCUUGUUGGUGGGGUAAUGGCCUACCAAGGCGGCGACGGGUAGCCGGCCUGCGAGGGUGGACGGCCACAUUUGGACUGGGAUACGGCCCAGACUCCUACGGGAGGCAGCAGUGGGGAAUAUUGCACAAUGGGCGCAAGCCUGAUGCAGCGACGCCGCGUGGGGGAUGACGGCCUUCGGGUUGUAAACUCCUUUCGCUAGGGACGAAGCUUUUUGUGACGGUACCUAGAUAAGAAGCACCGGCUAACUACGUG